rnacentral:ncRNA from 1 species
GUUAUACCACCAUUCUGCCAAGGGUAACCAUUUGAACCAUUGUGUUUGUUUAUCAGAGACAAAGCAAUGAAGGUAGCCUUCUAGACAUUUGUUCACUAUCUCGGUUUUCCCUAUCAACUUUCAAUGGUAGGAUAGAGGCCUACCAUGGUGGUGAUGGGUGAUAGAGAAUUAGGGUUCGAUUCCGGAGAGGAAGCCUAAGAAAUGGCUACCACAUCCAAGGAAGGAAGAAGGCGCACAAAUUACCCAAUCCUGACAUGGGGAGGUAGUGACAAUAAAUAACAAUACUGGUCUCAUCGAGUCUAGUAAUUGGAAUGAGUACAAUCUAAAUCCCUUAACAAGGAUCCAUUGGAGGGAAAGUCCAGUGUCAACAGUCAUGGUAAUUCCAGCUCCAAUAGCGUAUAUUUAAGUUGUAGUAGUUAAAAAUCUCGUAGUUGGAUCUUGUGUCAUAAAGGUCGGUCCGCCUACUCGGUGUGCACCUGCCCUUCCAUCCCUUUUGUCGAUGGCAUGCUCCUAGCCUUAAUUGGCUGGGUCACGGUUCCAUCAUUGUUACUUGGAAAAAAUUAGAGUGCUCAAAGCAAGCUUAUUCUCUGAUACCAUAUGUUAAGAACCAAAUAUCAAUAUAGCAUAGAAAAACCUCAGAAAAAGUACUCAAUGCCUUGAAAAAGAGAUAAUUUCAGAUAAUAAGCCUCUUC